GUGCCAGCCGCCGCGGUAAAACGUAGGAGGCGAGCGUUAUCCGGAUUCACUGGGCGUAAAGCGCGUGCAGGCGGUUCGGUAAGUUGGGCGUGAAAUCUCCUGGCUCAACUAGGAGAGGUCGUUCAAUACUACCGGACUUGAGAGCGGUAGAGGAAGAUGGAAUUCCCGGUGUAGUGGUGAAAUGCGUAGAUAUCGGGAGGAACACCAGUGGCGAAGGCGAUCUUCUGGACCGUUUCUGACGCUCAGACGCGACAGCUAGGGUAGCAAACGGGAUUAGAAACCCCCGUAGUCC
rnacentral:rRNA from 1 species